rnacentral:rRNA from 1 species
UACGAACUGUGCAAACGUUAUUCGGAUUCACUGGGCUUAAAGGGUGCGUAGGCGGCCAUGUAAGUAGGGUGUGAAAUCCCCCGGCUUAACCGGGGAACUGCGCCCUAAACUGUAUGGCUGGAGUGAGAUAGGGGUGUGUGGAACUUCCGGUGGAGCGGUGAAAUGUGUUGAUAUCGGAAGGAACACCAGUGGCGAAGGCGGCUACCUGGCAUGAUACUGACACUGAGGCACGAGAGCGUGGGGAGCAAACAGG